UACGGAGGGUGCAAGCGUUAAUCGGAAUUACUGGGCUUAAAGCGUGCGCAGGCGGUUUUUUAAGUCUGUUGUGAAAUCCCCGAGCUCAACUUGGGAAUUGCAAUGGAUACUGGCAGGCUGGAGUAUGGUAGAGGAAGGUGGAAUUCCCGGUGUAGCAGUGAAAUGCGUAGAGAUCGGGAGGAACACCAGUGGCGAAGGCGGCCUUCUGGAGCAAUACUGACGCUCAGGCACGAAAGCGUGGGGAGCAAACAGG
rnacentral:rRNA from 1 species